rnacentral:rRNA from 1 species
UGGGGAAUAUUGCACAAUGGGCGCAAGCCUGAUGCAGCCAUGCCGCGUGUAUGAAGAAGGCCUUCGGGUUGUAAAGUACUUUCAGCGAGGAGGAAGGCGUUGUGGUUAAUAACCGCAGCGAUUGACGUUACUCGCAGAAGAAGCACCGGCUAACUCCGUGCCAGCAGCCGCGGUAAUACGGAGGGUGCAAGCGUUAAUCGGAAUUACUGGGUGUAAAGCGCACGCAGGCGGUCUGUCAAGUCGGAUGUGAAAUCCCCGGGCUCAACCUGGGAACUGCAUCCGAAACUGGCAGGCUAGAGUCGUGUAGAGGGGGGUAGAAUUCCAGGUGUAGCGGUGAAAUGCGUAGAGAUCUGGUGGAAUACCGGUGGCGAAGGCGGCCCCCUGGACAAAGACUGACGCUCAGGUGCGAAAGCGUGGGGAGCAAACA